rnacentral:rRNA from 1 species
UAUUUAUUAGAUAACAGACCAAUAUUCCUCGUGUCUAUUGUGGUGACUCAUAGUAACUGAUCGGAUCGCAUGGCCUUGUGCCGCGACUAACCAUUCAAGUUUCUGACCCAUCAGCUUUCGAUGGUAGUGUAUUGGACUACCAUGGCUUUCACGGGUAACGGAGGAUUAGGGUUCGAUUCCGGAGAGGGAGCCUGAGAAACGGCUACCACAUCUAAGGAAGGCAGCAGGCGCGUAAAUUACCCAAUCCUGACUCAGGGAGGUAGUGACAAGAAAUAACGGGUCGGGGCAUUCGCCUUGGGAUUGCAAUGAAUCGAAUUUACACCCCUUAAUGAGGAUCAAUUGGAGGGCAAGUCUGGUGCCAGCAGCCGCGGUAAUUCCAGCUCCAAUAGCGUAUAUUAAAGUUGUUGCAGUUAAAAAGCUCGUAGUUGGAUUUCUGGGAGGGUGCCAAUGUCCGCCGACGUGCGUGUGCAGCGGCGCCCUUCCAUCCUUCUGUUAACGCCUCUUGGCAUUCAUUUGCUGGUGGCGGGCUCAGAUAUUUUACCUUGAGAAAAUUAGAGUGUUUCAGGCAGGCUAGGC